UCAAAUGCAGAGGCACCUGUAUCCGAAGACCUCAGAGAAGUUCUCUUCUUCUCCUAUGAUCAAUGUGAUAUACUCUUUAGGAUUGUCAGAGUUCAUCUCUGAACAGUAGAUCUGAGAAGCAGAAGAGUGACACAAUCAGUGACUCGGCAAGGUUGGGUAAAGGGCGGGCGAAGGAGAUGAGAACAUUUAGACUCUUGCAUCCUGCGCUCGUCACCACUAACACAAGAAACUUCUCAAUGCUUCAGUCAAUUUCCACACGAUGAUGAACACUACAGAGAGCGACACUGGACGCGGAGCACUGCGGAAAUGGGGAAGAAAAUCACAGUGAAGUCCAACUGCUUGAUAAACACAAGCUUAAUUAGUGUGUCAUUUGAGGUUCACGGAGCGAAUGAACCACGAGGGGAGCUGAAGAGAAAAGAGAGAGAGGCUUCCCUGGAUCCAGGAUGGGAGAGGAACGGAUAAUCAAAGGGCCUCGUAGAGGGAGGAUGGAUAUGAUGCGACAAGUCUGAAGUUGAACGAGUCCAUUCCCAGCAUGCAUACACGAAAUACAGGAACUAAGAGAACAGAAACUCCCCAAUUGGAUAAUGUGUUCCUGGGGAUACUUUUUCAAAAGAGUCUAGCAAGUGUCAGAGUUGCAUUUAAGUUGAUGGAAUUUAUUUUGAAACCAGGACAAAAAAGGUCUUGAGCAAUCAGUUUAACACUCAAAUAUAUAUUUGCUUUUAUAAAUAUUUACAGUACCAAAAUAUAUACAAUUGGUUCAACUGAAUACAUAUACACCAAAAUUCAAUAUCAACAACAUAGACAGCUGCAGCAAAAUAACAAAAUCAAAGACACUUCACAUAAAAUAAUAUAAAAAUGCACAUUUAUCUUUAAAGUAAGAACACCAUGUACCACUUUAAUAAUUCAUCCAAAGCCUUACUGAUUCAUAAUAAAUCAUAAACAUGCUCACUCUGCUUCAGAAUUUUACUGUUUGUGUGUAUACGUGUGAGAAUAUGUAACCACGAAUAUGGUCUCAUUUUCUUUUAGGAAUUCUAUGCAGCAUGUCUAUGCAAAUUAAAAGUGUGAUCAAAGAGUAAUACUUAGUUUUGUGUAGGUGCAUGAAAAACUCUGGUCAGGCUGUCUUUUAGUUUACUGCAUAUGAUACUAAACCUCAGUAAACUUGCAUGUAAUCAACUGUAUCACAAUCUUGGUGCUAAUUUCUGUCAUCAGAUGUAAAGCACUUAAAAUUACUGUUAUUCAUAGUAAUUUUACACACUUUUACAUACAGUAUUUGUAAAUAUUUAGGGGCCAUUUCAAUCAUUUGGUUUGUUUUUUAUAUGGCAAGGCAUUUAUUUCAGUCAUGCUGCCAUACUAUUUAUGUACUUUGUUAAAUGAAUGCGCCACUGAUUUAAUGAGCAAAAAUUGCCAACUUUUACACUAAAAAAGAUCCAAAAUAAAGGGGCAUUUACUUUAAAAUUUCUUUCAUCCAAAAUCUAGAGAAAUAUUCCAAUUCCAAUCUGAAUGCAAUCAAAACAGAUAAGUGUAAUUGUAGUUACUCUUCAGUUCAUUGAUCAGACUAAAUUGACUUUUUUUUUUUUUUUUUGCUUUUUGGACCAUGCAAAAUCACCUUGUUUUUCUUUUAAAUUGUUGCCAAAAAUGAUCAGUCCAGGCCUGGCAAAAUGCUUGGCUACGUGCCUCACUACAUUCCAACGUGAGAACUUCCAGGUUUCAGAAUGCACACAGAUAUCCAGGCCGUAGAGGCCUCCGUGUUCCGUAAUGGCCUUCGCUCUUGCCUCUUAUUUUUCCCAUAAGAAUAAAACUCUUUCUGAGAAGUGUGUCCAUUCUGAUUAGAUGAGCUGGGAAGGCUGGGAAAGACCUUCCAACAGAUCAAAGGCUGUCCUUGACCCCCCCUGUGCCUUUGCCAUUGUUAUUUUGAUGUAUGCUCACUUGGUUGACUGUGACCAUAUCACUACCAUCAGGGCUGGUUAAUAUCCUGUGGUGUCCAAAACGAAAAAGCCUACGGUAGUAGAGUUCCUCUACAGGUACUGAGGUGAGUUAGCGCCAAAAAAGACCCCCUAUCAUUAAAACAGGUAAUACAGACGUCCCAUUCAGAUGAGAAAUGAAUAAAAAGCAGCAGGUUAACAUAAAAAAAAAAAAAAUCUUUAUAUAUAUAUAUAUAUAUAUAUAUAUAUAUAUAUAUACACA